GCAGCCCAAUCAAAAAUUUCAGAAUCAAAUUUUUUCCAUCUUAAAUGACGAAAGGGCUAAACUACAUGCCGUUGCACAAGUCCUUGGCAGCUUUUCCAGUUGCUUCGUUUCGAUCAACCUUAAAAAGAAGAUCACUCUCUUCAAAGCCUCAAAAAUGGCAGUCCCGAGUAGCCUUGCAAAGGAAGCAGAGAUAGGUUCUUCAUGAUGGGUUUUGUUCUUGGAGGAAAG
rnacentral:misc_RNA from 1 species